AAUGAACGCUGGCGGCAGGCCUAACACAUGCAAGUCGAACGGAUCCUUCGGGAUUAGUGGCGGACGGGUGAGUAACGCGUGGGAACAUACCCUUUGGUACGGAAUAGCCUCGGGAAACUGGGAGUAAUACCGUAUGUGGUCGAGAGACGAAAGAUUUAUCGCCAAAGGAUUGGCCCGCGUUGGAUUAGGUAGUUGGUGGGGUAAUGGCCUACCAAGCCGACGAUCCAUAGCUGGUUUGAGAGGAUGAUCAGCCACACUGGGACUGAGACACGGGCCAGACUCCUACGGGAGGCAGCAGUGGGGAAUUUUAGACAAUGGGGGAAACCCUGAUCUAGCCAUGCCGCGUGAUCGAUGAAGGCCUUAGGGUUGUAAAGAUCUUUCAGGUGGGAAGUUAAUGACUGUACCACCAGAAGAAGCCCCGGCUAACUCCGUGCCAGCAGCCGCGGUAACAC
rnacentral:rRNA from 1 species